rnacentral:antisense_RNA from 1 species
GGCGUUUGCAGGAGCAGUUUACUGCGAUCUUUGAUGUCCCCACCAAUGUGGUAUGGCAAGCCACAGUUAGCAAAUGAAACAAAUUCACCGCGUUCAAACAUGAUGAUUUCAGCGUCUUCACUGAGACGACGAGCGCGGGCUGCAGCAGAUGCGCCGCCAGCUACGCCAC